rnacentral:rRNA from 1 species
GAUGAACGCUGGCGGCGUGCUUAACACAUGCAAGUCGAACGGAAAGGCCCAAGCUUGCUUGGGUACUCGAGUGGCGAACGGGUGCGUAACACGUGGGUGAAAUGCACUGCACUUCGGGAUAAGCCUGAGAAACUGGAACUAAUACCGGUUAGGCAUACUCCAUGGAUAUUGUGGUGGAACGUUUUGACGGUGGGGGAUGGAUACGCGGCCUAUCAGCUUGUGGGUGGGGGGUUGGCCUACCAAGGCGUUGACGCGUAGCCGGACUGAGACGGUGUUCGGCCACAUGGGGAUUGAGAUACAGCCCAGGCUCCUACGGGAGGCAGCAGUGGGGAAUAUGGCACAAUGGGAGCGAGGCUGAUGCUGCGACGCCGCGUGGGGGAUUACGGCCUUCGUGUUGUGAAUGCCUUUCGCUAGGGACGAAGCAUUUUUGUGACGGUACCUGGAGAAGAAGCACCGGCUAACUACGUG